GGAAAGAAAAUGAUUUAAAAACAUCAGUGUGUGCAGGAUUGUUCCUGCUGCAGAUUGAUGUCAGAUUCCUUGUUUCUACAGAGACUGUAAAUAUCACAUUUAACUGCUCCUUCAGAGAACUCACACAUCGAUCUGUCAGGAGUUACUGGACAUAACAGCUUCAGUUUGGCGGUUAUAUUUUCUUUUUUUUUCUUUAAUUAUUUUGAUGGGACAGUGCAUAUUAAUGAACGUAUAAUCUCAUAAGGUUACACAAGGUUGCAGUAAAUAAGUCGGCUUAUUUCCAUUCCCACCCUUUAAAGAAAAACAUACAUAUAAAAACAAUAUAAUACAGCAAGGAUUAAAGAUUCUGGCUUGAUUAAACCUACCCUAAAAUACCAUUAUUUUAGUAAAAUGCUUUCUAAUAAAAAAUGUUAUGAAGUGCUCAUAGUUAGUUUCAGACAAGAAUAUCGUCGUUUUUACUCCUUAACUUCAAAAAUAUAGUUACACUACUGUUCUAAAGCUUAGGCUCCCCUACAAAUGCCCUUAUUUUUGAAAGAAAAGCAGUUUUUUUUCAAUGAAGAUAAAAUUAAAUGAAUGAUAAAUCCAGUCUAGACAUUGUUAAUGUGGUAAAUUUCUAUUCUAGCAGGAAAUGCUUAAUGGAAUAUCUCCAUAGGGGUACAGAGGAACAUUUCCAGCAACCAUCACUCCUGUGUUCUAAUGCUACAUUGUGUUAGCUAAUGGUGCUGAAAGGCUCAUUGAUAAAAACCCGACAAGUCCUCAGUGGUGGACUUAUAGUAGGAUCACAAUCAUGUGAUCGUCAGCAGGCAGCUGAUGUAGUGUUCGCUUGUUGUCAUGGUUACAGUGCCGCCGUGUCGCUAUCUCACAAUGAUACAGAAAUCUUUAACCAAUCUGUGGAUCCAGACUAUAAGCCGCAUCACUGCCAAAAUCUAUUCAUUUGGUCCUUCUGUCAUUUCUUGAGACAGACAGACAGAUGAUGAUCGUCACAUAACUCUGCCGCUCCAUGGAGAAGUAAAAAUUAGUUUUAGAGGAAAGAAAACGGGACGUUGUCUAGAGAAACAACAAGAUUGUUCAAGUGGACUUGGUUCCCGAAGACGUCUCAUCUUGGAUGAGAGGUGGAACAUCUAAGAAGAAGACGUAUCUUCAAGAAAGUUCUUGUGGUCCUUGUGUCACUUCUGACCUUUCCUGAAAAUUUCAUCCAAAUCUGUUGGUCUGUUUUUGAGUAAUGUUGCACACAGACAGACAGACAGACAGACAGACAGACAGACAGACAGACAGACAGACAGACAGACAGACAGACAGACAGACUGUAGCAAACCCACUUCGUUUUGUGCUUACUGUAUCUCAUUUUGUCCACCAGAUGGCAGCUUGUUGUUUGUGAGUUAUCUUUAGAAAAUUAAAGUUUCAUUGAAAAUGCAUUUUUGUGACAUAAUCUUCAUACAUGCUGAGUUUUAUUAUAUGGGUUUUUCUUUAAAAAUGUAAUUUUACCUGCUUUAUGUGUACAUUUCUGGUGUUUUUGGAGUUAAUGGUUCAGUUUUAUAUUGCCAUGAUUUUAUUUUGAAAACUACCGCCUGCUUCCUGUCUGUAUUGUUUUGCCGGGAAUUCACUACGGAUGAAUGAGCUAACAUAAAGCCAUAAAAGUUCAAGCUAAACUACGGUAUAAGGCAUCAGACAUUGAAUGUAUGUUUUGCAACCCCCCGAAGAGGCACAAGAAGCUACACUUCCAGACUUUCUGCUGUGUGUCGAUGACGUUCACCUGGAGGAGUUCUGGGCUUCAGCAGCAGCAGAGGACUGGACGGAGACGGUUUCUCCUUCAGAGGCAGAUGGCCAACAGCUCACUCCAUCCCACUGCAUCUCACAGCCUGACAAGACAGACAUCAGCAUGUGGUUUCAUCUGCUGCUCCUUUCCUCCGUGCAGCUGGACUGACGUGAAGCACUUUGAAGCCGUCGGGAUAAAAAGCAUGACAUCACCUGAGCGUUCAUCCUUCUCAACAGGAAGUCCACGAAACGACAGCAAGGUGCCUUUUAGUCACUUCAUAAUUAAUGCCGCACAGCGCUGACAUGAUGGAGACAUGAGUCCUUGAGAUCAAAACACUUUGACGCAUCAAGGCCAAUGUAUAUAUUCCAUUUAAUUAAAUGUAACUCUAUUGCUUAUGCAGACUUCAUAAUGUGAUCUACAUGCUGUGGUUUUAAGUUUAUAGGUACCUGAUAAAAGGCAAAAAUGUUCCCACAGCUGGUUUUCAUGCAAUAUUCUACUAAAAAAAUUAGACCUGCUGUGAGAGUGACACAAACCAAGAAGUGAGAAAGUAUUUGACUCACCGGAUGUAGACGAGAUAUUAAAUAAAUCUGUUUGAGGGGCUCCAAAAAUUCAUCUAUGAAGAUAAAAACCCACAGCUUUUUAGGUGUGAUUGAUGGUAAAAU